GCCUCGGUAGCCCAACUUGGUAGAGGCAACAGGUUUAAGUUCUGUAAAGUGAUGGGUUCGAAUCCCUCUCGAGGCA
rnacentral:tRNA from 1 species